AGCUGCCCCCAGUGGAGUUUGGGUCACAGUCAGAAAUACAGGGAGCAGAGAAGGAAGAAAGGACUGAGGGCUCUUUCCUUGGCUAUGCUCUCCACCCUCCCCCAGCAGCUUACCGAGGUGAAGACCAGCCCAUCCCCCAGGGGCAUAGUUAGCCAUCCAAGCUUCAGGGCACAGUCCUCAAAUAUCUUCAGAUGAAUCUGAAAGGGUGAGAAGUAGAAUUGAAAUUAAAUGUAUCCUGCUUGGACCCACAAGGUGGAACCAGGAAGAACAGGUGGAAGGUGCAGAGAGACAGAUGUUGGCUCCAAAGGAAGAACUUCUUAAGAAUCAAAGCAGCUUAACAAAGGAGUGAGCUCUUUUCCAAGGUAGAAAAUGCCCCAUUAGAAGAUGUAUCCAUUCAGUUUGGAUCAACACGUCUCCAGUCCUGAACGCUGAAGCAGUAAUUCUCACACAAGGCAGGAGUUGGGAUAAAUGACCAUUCUUGGGACCCUGGAAAAUAAGCCUUAUUUGUUGAUAUUGUUUUCAACCAGAAACCCAACCAGAAGGGUCUCUGAGUGUGAGCAUUCCAUUUCCAAAGGGCCCAGCUCACUUAUGAGCCAAGGCAGACCCAAGGAAAUCACUGGGUCCUGAAAGAACUAGAAGGUGGGAUUCCUGAGCCCUUGGUGGGGAUCUCUGGAAGAGGCCUGCAAACACUCCCUGGAAGACUGACUCCUUGGGGUUAUAACAGUGACGGUGACUUUUGUGUUUCCCCGAGAUCUCAUCCACAUCCUGCAAUUCCAUUCCAAUGCUUGUUCAUGGUGUCCUGGAGGAACUGUGGAGGAGGGGGCACAGACAGUCCUUGGAUUCCCCAUUCUUGUGGAUGAUUCAGAAGGCAUCUGUCUUCUUAAUCUCAUCAGGAGCCCCCAGCAGAAGCUGCCCUGGUGAGGGCUCAGCAUGGGGGCCCUGGCUGUGGGCCAAGAAAGCAGCCUUCAGAUCUCAUUCUCCUCCCACACCCUACCCUGUCCCUGCUCCAACCCUCCAGGGAAGCAACUGCAUCUCCCUGUGAUAUGGCAGAUUCCGAGGACUUGAAAGGUCACUAGAGACCCAUAAGUAGAAAUUUAACAGAUAAAAUAAAGGGAAGCAAUAAGAAAAGAGUGAGAAAAAG
rnacentral:lncRNA from 1 species